rnacentral:lncRNA from 1 species
CUGCGCCUUCGGCUCCCUACGGAUCCCGGCCGGCCGAGCGGCUCCAGGCCUGGUCCGGGAGCGCGGGGCCGCCAGGCAGCGGAGGGAGAGAUGAGGAGGACCCGGAGGCUCGCCGCGGGAGGGUGCCCAGGGCGAGGGCGUGCGAGCUGGUGCGUCUCCCCGGGCGAGUGGAGGAAUCCUAGGGUGUGCCUGGAGGUGGCGGAGUGUGCCGACGCGGGUGUGAGCGCGUGUGCCGGCGAGGGUGGGCAUGGGGUGAGUGUGGCAAGCUGCGCAAGGUCUGACCAUCACCAGUGCUCGAAAACUGCUUGUGGAAUGAACGAGCACAUCCCUGGACGUGGACUAGACGCAUCUUCUCCAGCCCCAGUCCCAAGUCCUUUGCAUCACUGAGGAGGAUCGUCUCUGCCCUCCGGAUGGAUGCUCACUUGCUGCCUGGGAAGAAAGCCUGCACAUACAUGAGACGAGGGCCGUAAAGGCAGGGCUUAGGUUUGCCCUCGGUUCUACAUAAACAGGUCUAUUAAUUCUCUGAAACUGGCCUUUUAUCCCCAUUUUACACAUGAGGGAUCCACUUUCAGGGAAGGCAACAGCUUUUUUGGGCUGAAGAUCACAAACUUGUUUAACAUCUUUGGGGCAAAAUGAGUAGAUGAAUGAGAUCACCAGCCAUCUGGGGUUCUGGACUUACCAAGAUUCCCCAGGCUGACCACAGCUGGCUGAUGGUAGAUGGUGAAGGCCCAGAGAACAAGGCCUUCUAUGAGUCACUUUCCAGGUAGCCUGUGCAGUCCCUCUGGGUUUCUGACUGGCUUCCGGAACAGGAGGGGACUGACCACUGUGACCGAGUUCGUCAGCCCCCUGGGAAUCUUCUCUGCCUCCCUCAGGCUGGGUACCUCGAUCUGACAAAGGUGGUGCUCAUAGCAGGGAAAGGGACAAAGGCCGGGGGGUGGGGGCUGGAAUCAUCAUCAUCAUCAUCAUGGAAUUAAUAACAACAGCAGUGACAAUAAACUCUUGCCUGCCACACA